AACGAACGCUGGCGGCAGGCUUAACACAUGCAAGUCGAGCGCCCCGCAAGGGGAGCGGCAGACGGGUGAGUAACGCGUGGGAAUCUACCCAUCUCUACGGAAUAACGCAUGGAAACGUGUGCUAAUAACGUAUACGUCCUUCGGGAGAAAGAUUUAUCGGAGAUGGAUGAGCCCGCGUUGGAUUAGGUAGUUGGUGGGGUAAAGGCCUACCAAGGCGACUAUCCAUAGCUGGUCUGAGAGGAUGAUCAGCCACACUGGGACUGAGACACGGCCCAGACUCCUACGGGAGUCAGCAGUGGGGAAUAUUGGACAAUGGGCGCAAGCCUGAUCCAGCCAUGCCGCGUGAGUGAUGAAGGCCCUAGGGUUGUAAAGCUCUUUCAUCGGUGAAGAUAAUGACGGUAACCGGAGAAGAAGCCCCGGCUAACUUCGUGCCAGCCGCCGCAGUAAAAC
rnacentral:rRNA from 1 species